UGCCCCCUUCUUUGGGAUAACGGUCGGAAACGGCUGCUAAUACCGGGUAUUCACUGUCCUUCGCAUGGGGGGUGGUGGAAAGGUUUUUACUGGUGGGGGAUGGGCUCGCGGCCUAUCAGCUUGUUGGUGGGGUGAUGGCUUACCAAGGCUUUGACGGGUAACCGGCCUGAGAGGGUGACCGGUCACAUUGGGACUGAGAUACGGCCCAGACUCCUACGGGAGGCAGCAGUGGGGAAUAUUGCACAAUGGGCGAAAGCCUGAUGCAGCGACGCCGCGUGAGGGAUGACGGCCUUCGGGUUGUAAACCUCUUUCGCUCAUGGUCAAGCCGCAACAGUGGUUGUGGUGAGGGUAGUGGGUAAAGAAGCACCGGCUAACUACGUGCCAGCAGCCGCGGUAAUACGUAGGGUGCGAGCGUUGUCCGGAAUUAUUGGGCGUAAAGGGCUUGUAGGCGGUUUGUCGCGUCUGCCGUGAAAUCCUCUGGCUUAACUGGGGGCGUGCGGUGGGUACGGGCAGGCUUGAGUGCGGUAGGGGAGACUGGAACUCCUGG
rnacentral:rRNA from 1 species